GUGCUCGCUUCGGCGCACAUAUACUAAAAUUGGAACGAGACAGAGAAGAUUAGCAUGGCCCCUGCGCAAGGGUGACACACAAAUGGGUGCAGCGUUCCGUAUUUUU
ensembl:snRNA U6 U6 spliceosomal RNA